CCCUACCCGAUCCACUUUCCUUUCUCCCUCUCUCUCUCGCAUGCUCCCUGCUAGGCCCGAACGGCUGCCCUCUGAUGGUCGCCGCCGUGUAGACACCGGAUUAAGAGUACCAGACACCGCCGAAACUCCAGCCUCGCGAGCCCUUCGUUGCUGUUCUCCGCCGCGAGCAGAAGCCUCCAGGCUCAUACGUCGCCGCCAUGGCUUCAAGGCCAAUUUCUGGCUUCGUCUGACAUUGUCUCAGGCGAAGGGUAGCAUGGAUGAACUCAGGGUAUCAAGACGAACAAAGCCCAGCCAAGGAUCGGGCUUUUAAGUGACCGGAGGAGACAGAAUCAACUCUCCAUUACUGCUCGUAGUCUUCUUCUCGAGUUUAUAAUGGAUAUGAAAUUAAGGAAGUUCACAUUGAUUUCUGUUACAAAGGGGGUUGGUAAAUUCCAUUGCUGUCAAAAUUUUGUAUGAGGCUUUUGGGCCAUAGCAAUAUCUAAUAGAGCAAAAAAGUGUGUCUAUAUAAAGGAAGUUGAAGAGCUAUGGAAGCAGGUCUAUAUUGAGAUGCAUUUCUUUGGCGCAAUACUAGACAACAUUGGCAGUUGAAGUUUUUAGAAUAAAAAAUAUAUUUCACUAACAUUGUAUACAUUUCUUGUUUAAUAUUUGGUGAUGAUAGAAUUUGAUUGUAGUAUAAACUAUUGUGUAAUAUGAUUUUGUAAGCCGAGUAGACUAAAUAUUGAAAAUAUAUUUUUGAGUAAUUAAUAAAAAAUUAUUGUAUUUUCUUUUGAAA